GCCUAACACAUGCAAGUCGAGCGGAAACGACACUAACAAUCCUUCGGGUGCGUUAAUGGGCGUCGAGCGGCGGACGGGUGAGUAAUGCCUAGGAAAUUGCCUUGAUGUGGGGGAUAACCAUUGGAAACGAUGGCUAAUACCGCAUAAUGCCUACGGGCCAAAGAGGGGGACCUUCGGGCCUCUCGCGUCAAGAUAUGCCUAGGUGGGAUUAGCUAGUUGGUGAGGUAAUGGCUCACCAAGGCGACGAUCCCUAGCUGGUCUGAGAGGAUGAUCAGCCACACUGGAACUGAGACACGGUCCAGACUCCUACGGGAGGCAGCAGUGGGGAAUAUUGCACAAUGGGCGAAAGCCUGAUGCAGCCAUGCCGCGUGUAUGAAGAAGG
rnacentral:rRNA from 1 species